rnacentral:rRNA from 1 species
AGUGGGGAAUAUUGCACAAUGGGGGAAACCCUGAUGCAGCCAUGCCGCGUGUGUGAAGAAGGCCUUCGGGUUGUAAAGCACUUUCAGCGAGGAGGAAAGGUUGGUAGCUAAUAACUGCCAGCUGUGACGUUACUCGCAGAAGAAGCACCGGCUAACUCCGUGCCAGCAGCCGCGGUAAUACGGAGGGUGCAAGCGUUAAUCGGAAUUACUGGGCGUAAAGCGCACGCAGGCGGUUGGAUAAGUUAGAUGUGAAAGCCCCGGGCUCAACCUGGGAAUUGCAUUUAAAACUGUCCAGCUAGAGUCUUGUAGAGGGGGGUAGAAUUCCAGGUGUAGCGGUGAAAUGCGUAGAGAUCUGGAGGAAUACCGGUGGCGAAGGCGGCCUCCUGGACAAAGACUGACGCUCAGGUGCGAAAGCGUGGGGAGCAAA